AUUGUUUUGGCAAGCUAGGAGAACACAUCUGACAGACAAAAAGGUUUCAUCAAAGACACACAGACAGCUCCUGAAGUAAAGGACCUACACAGGACCUUCAUAUCAAGGACAUUGACUGUGUGGAUCUCGAGGUGCAGUUACCCAAAAGUUGCUACCCACGGAAUACCAGGUUUUGAGGGAUCCUGCCAGAGCAGAGAAUCAACAGAUACAUUGAAGAGGAGACUCCGACAUGACCGCCGGCAUCUUGUGUUAUUCACCCCCACCACUUGUAAUACUGAAUGCCUGAA